rnacentral:rRNA from 1 species
ACUACGGGAGGCAGCAGUGGGGGAUAUUGCACAAUGGGGGGAACCCUGAUGCAGCGACGCCGCGUGGGUGAAGAAGCGCCUCGGCGCGUAAAGCCCUGUCAGCAGGGAAGAAAAUGACGGUACCUGAAGAAGAAGCCCCGGCUAACUACGUGCCAGCAGCCGCGGUAAUACGUAGGGGGCAAGCGUUAUCCGGAUUUACUGGGUGUAAAGGGGGCGCAGACGGCGAUGCAAGCCAGGAGUGAAAGCCCGGGGCCCAACCCCGGGACUGCUCUUGGAGCUGCGUGGCUGGAGUGCAGGAGGGGCAGGCGGAAUUCCUGGUGUAGCGGUGAAAUGCGUAGAUAUCAGGAGGAACACCGGUGGCGAAGGCGGCCUGCUGGACUGCAACUGACGUUGAGGCCCGAAAGCGUGGGGAGCAAACAGGAUUAGAUACCCUAGUAGUC